rfam:Schistosoma curassoni strain Dakar, Senegal genome assembly, scaffold: SCTD_scaffold0003212
AGCCUUCUGAACCCGUGCCGAGAUUUCGUCAGACACCAAACCAUCAGGACUGAUGAAACUCUAAAAAUAAGUGAGGCA